UCUCGGUGAUGAUCACGGUGACCUUGGUGACUCUGAGUAUGACUUCUGCUUUGGCUCAUCUAAUAGGAAUCCUCAACCCGGCUCUCCAAAUCAUCUUGUCAACCAAUCAGGUAAUUUCAAUUCCUCAUCUGAUAGACAUAACCCACAAAUUCAAUCACGGCCUCAUCAGGCUGGCUCACAGUCAUCCCUUUCUCUAACUAGGCUCAAACCUUCUAUUACACCAUUUACUAGCCUAUCUCUAAAUGCUACCUCAUUGUUCACCAGUUCUCCUAGCGCUUUCAUUCCACCUAACCUUUUGGGUCUAUUAAUGCCUCUCAAAACCUGUUGCCUCGCUCCAACUGGUUCAUUCAAAUUUUAAACCUAACUAUUUUACUUUCUUGGGACCUUCUAACGCUCCUACUCCGAAUGCCAACCAUUGCCUAUCUAAGUUUUUCCUGGGAAACUCUCUCUCGCUCUUGCUAGACUCAUCAAAAACUGUACCUCUUACUCAAUCUUCCACUCUUACCUAUAGCCCUAUACCAAUUGCUAAAGUGUUCCACUCUAUCAUCCAAGCUAUUCACCCACCAACUCAGUCCACCUCUCCUUCUUUCAAGAGGAGCACAACGAUCGAAAAAACUCAAAUCUCUGGAUGUUGUUGAGCAAGACCUGAAUGAGGAAGACUCACUUUUCAUAAAUUCUCUGACUGCCGGCAACAUUGUUAAGAUGGGUGAUAGGAUCACGAUAUUGUCAUUAAAACACCAUCCUUAUCAA
rnacentral:lncRNA from 1 species